rfam:Termitomyces sp. J132 unplaced genomic scaffold C258113, whole genome shotgun sequence.
GUGAGCUGUAUGAUGGGCGACUAUCUCGUACAGUUCGGAGAAGACUUUAGUAAGUUUACUUAAGUAAACUGAACUCUUUAUUCUAC